UGGAGAUGUUUAAUGAAGCCUCUUGUAGCCC
rnacentral:piRNA from 1 species